rnacentral:rRNA from 1 species
UACGUAGGGGGCGAGCGUUGUCCGGAUUCAUUGGGCGUAAAGCGCGCGCAGGCGGUGGCGUGAGCCCGGCGUGAAAGCCCCCAGCUCAACUGGGGGAGGCCGUCGGAGACCGCGGCACUUGAGGCCGGUAGGGGAGAGCGGAAUUCCCGGUGUAGUGGUGGAAUGCGUAGAUAUCGGGAGGAACACCAGUGGCGAAGGCGGCUCACUGGCCCGGUACUGACGCUGAGGUGCGAAAGCGUGGGGAGCAAACAGG